CACGUGACUCACCUCCCGACACCUCCCGGCCCGCUCUGAAGCCACAACGGCCGCCAUGUUGACUAUGGGAACGGAACGGCCUUUCCAGCCAGACCAAAUGACUGGAGGCUAGCGAGGCAGUUCUGGGGCGUGAAGCCUGAGAGAGGCCAUGUCUAGUGUGGGCUCGUCUACUAGCACUAAGCAGCGGAACAGCGGACCCCCAGCUGUGGCCCUCUGGCUUUGCUGAUCGGAUGGCAAGAUAUCCGAAGAAGUCUCACCUUAGGCAUCCAUUCCCUCCAGAAGGUAUCCCUUCCACUGGCUCUCUUGGUACCUUUCAGCCAUGACACUGACUUGACCACACUGGAAUUCAGUUUCCAGUCUGUCACCUUCACUUCAACCUAGAAGACGCCCGUGCCCUCAGUGAGUACUCAGUAAGGUCUAGAUGUCCGCCCAAAGCCUCAUGUGGUCAUAGGCAGCUGAAUCAAGACUGUGUGAUGCUGGGAUUGAGGGUGGGUGAUUACUAAAUCAGUCCACUGAUUGGUUUGGCACCACCCUAAUCCCAGUACCUGGAUACAAUAUGAGGGACAGAAAGAGGCUUGACUUCUCCCUUGUUGCUUCUGCUACUGUGUGAGCACCAUGAACUGCCAUCCUCUGCCAUACCACCCUGCCUUGGAGCCAGGACUGAAACCUCUACAAACUGGGACCUAAAUAAACCUUUCCCUCUGUAAUUUGGGGGGUAUUUUGUCUCAACAACAAGAGAAAAGACUUUAUUUUUGCAUGAGAAAUGAGGUAGGGGUCUACCAUGGUUUGGAUAUCAUUCGUCCCCACCAAAACUUGUGUUGAAGUUUGGUUCCUGUGUGGCAGUGUCAGGAGUUUUUUUUUAAAGUGUAAUUUUGAAAUACCAUUUUUCUUGUCUCCUUUCUAUCUCUAUUUCUUCUAUCCUGCUUCAGAACCAUCAGGGAAGCUGGACACUUGCAGCUCUCAUCAAGGUUGGCACCACCACCAAACAGGCUGGCCACACUGAUUUGCUCCUGGUUUACUGUGUCCACUACGAGGACUGUUGGAUCUUUUCUGCUUGUCUCUGAACUUUUGCUGUCACACCUUUAAACUCAAAGUAGAAGUGUCCACUGGAUAGGAAUAGGCCCUAGGCUGGUCAGUAACCUCAGAAGUAGGAGAGGAUGCAUCCUCUCCUUCCAGCUUCUAUAGGGGGAAGCAGAGCUGCCUCCUGUCUUCCUUGAGGUCUGCCUGAAAGGAAGAUUAUUCAGUGCUGGACAGCCAAAAAUGACAAACAUCCACUAUAACCCGCUCCUGUGUAGUGUCAUAUUGAUAGCAUUAAAUACAUUGCUUUACCUAUUUACUACAAUUUAUCAUAAAUUUUUAUAUCUAUAUUUAUAAUAAGGCCAGCAUUAGUGUGUGUGCAUGUGUGUGUGUGUGUGUGUGUGUGUACUAUCUUUGUCAGGUUUUGGUUUUACCAGCUUUUUUAAAAAAAUUAUGAAGUACCUCUAUUUUCUUUAGCGUCUAAUUUCAAUGAUGUGUUUUCAAAUGUUGAAAGAAAUUACCCUUUGGACCUAGUAUGUGAUGGGGGAGGGCCAGUUCUUUGAAAUAGUUUUUAAUUUUCAUCCCUGAAUAUUUUCAUCCCUCAUUAAUUUUAGUCCUUUUAUUUUCCCAGGAAAUUGCCCAUAUUUUCCAAUUUGUUAGUAAAAUCUUGCAGUGAACUUUGUGAAAGUUGCAUUGUUUCUUAAUAGAACCACACGGGUGUGUUAAACAUAUUCCUCAAGUUGUGAUUGUGGUGCAGAAUGUUAGCCUCCCCUGUUCUGUACAUUCGCUCUUUCCAAAGAUGUUCACUGAGUGUCU
ensembl:lncRNA